rnacentral:tRNA from 1 species
UGGUCGAUGGUGUAAUCGGCAGCACAGCAGAUUUUGGUUCUGUUAGUCCAGGUUCGAGUCCUGGUCGACCAG